AACACAUGCAAGUCGAGCGGAUGAAGGGAGCUUGCUCCUGGAUUCAGCGGCGGACGGGUGAGUAAUGCCUAGGAAUCUGCCUGGUAGUGGGGGAUAACGUCCGGAAACGGGCGCUAAUACCGCAUACGUCCUGAGGGAGAAAGUGGGGGAUCUUCGGACCUCACGCUAUCAGAUGAGCCUAGGUCGGAUUAGCUAGUUGGUGGGGUAAAGGCCUACCAAGGCGACGAUCCGUAACUGGUCUGAGAGGAUGAUCAGUCACACUGGAACUGAGACACGGUCCAGACUCCUACGGGAGGCAGCAGUGGGGAAUAUUGGACAAUGGGCGAAAGCCUGAUCCAGCCAUGCCGCGUGUGCGAAGAAGGUCUUCGGAUUGUAAAGCACUUUAAGUUGGGAGGAAGGGCAGUAAGUUAAUACCUUGCUGUUGUGACGUUACCAACAGAAUACGCACCGGGCUAGCUUCGUGCCAGCAUCGCGGUAAUACGAAAGGUGCAAGGCGUUAAUCGGAAUACUGGGCGUAAAGGGCGCGGCGUAGUGGUUCAGCAAGUUGGAUGUGAAAUCCCCGGGCUCAACCUGGGAACUGCAUCCAAAACUACUGAGCUAGAGUACGGUAGAGGGUGGUGGAAUUUCCUGUGUAGCGGUGAAAUGCGUAGAUAUAGGAAGGAACACCAGUGGCGAAGGCGACCACCUGGACUGAUACUGACACUGAGGUGCGAAAGCGUGGGGAGCAAACAGG
rnacentral:rRNA from 1 species